UCUCAGUUGUUUUUUCUUUUGCUUAAAUCUACUACACUUCACACAGUUCCAUGUUGCCUGAACCAACAGGGAUUCCGGGAAGAACAACAGAGACGUCGGAAGGAAUUUCUGAUUUUCGGAAACUAACUCGACGUAGCCCACCAAAAUGAACGUCAACGGUUGUUGAUUUUCAUCAAAUCAUCAAAAUGGCGGAGCUUUUUAAAGACAAAACCCUUGCCAGCAAGACCGAGUCAGCCGUGCCGGCAGAGGAGGCAUUGAAGGAUAAAGUUGUAGGGCUCUACUUCUCCGCCUCGUGGUGUCCGCCAUGCAGACAGUUCACGCCUCUGCUCCGGGAAGUGUACGAUGAACUGAUGGCCCGUGGGGCACCGUUUGAGGUGGUGUUUGUCUCAUUUGACAAAACGGCCGACGACCUACAAAGCUAUGUGAUGGGUCACCAUGGCGAUUGGCUCUUUGUUCCGUUCGGUGAUCCCUUAAUCAGUGAACUGAAGGAGAUGUUCAGUGUUGCGGCCGUGCCACAACUUAUCGUCGUGAAGCCUAACGGUGACGUCAUCACACCGCUGGGGCGUAAGCAGGUGCAGGACCGGGGAGUGUCCUGCUUCACGAGCUGGUUGCAAGCCUUGGACAAAGUCUGAACUUCUGCUGAUGAUGAGUAUGGCCGUGUUACACAAAGGUCUUCAAAAUUGUGGGCUCAUAGGUCGUCGCAACCAUGUCAAAGGUCAUAACCAUCAUGGGCUCAAAGGUCGUCACAAAUAUGGGCUCAAACGUCAUCUCAAUCAUGUCAAAAGAGAUUACCAUCAUGGGCACUAAGGUCAUCACCAUUAUGGGCUCAAAUGUCAUCACAAUUAUGGGUUCAAAGGUCGUCGAAAUCAUGCGCUCAAAGUGUCAUGCUGUGGUUCCUCCUGUCCAGUCUUUAUCUUAAGAACAGUUGUAUAAUUGAAAGGGGCAUUGGACCCCCCCCCCAAAAAAAAAUGAAAACAAUUACAAUAUGUUCGACUCACGUGCCGUGGUAUGUGGGUUAGUAGCCUGACGGGGAACACGGUGCUUGUGUUCUUAGGCAAGACACUUUACUACAAUUGCCUCUCUCCACCCAGGAGUAUACAGUUGAACACCUGUAUAACAAGGUCAUUGGGACUUUACAAAUUACCUUGUUAUAACAGGUACUUUGUAUUAUCAGUAACGGAAAACAAUGAAAAACAAAGACUAGGGACCUAAAAUUGUCCUUGUUUUAAGCCGGAUGUUGUAGUAACAGUGCUCUUCUUAAUAUCGGGGUUUGACUGUGGAGAUAGAGACAAAAUUGCGCUGAUCUCGAGCUACUGCAAACAACAGGUUGCAUGGCCUGAUAAACAGGGGUAAUACUUAUGAAGCGCUUUGAGACCAUUGGUAUAAAGCGCUAUAUAAAACGCCACAUUAUAAUAAUUACAAUUAUAAAUAUGUAUUUAAUGGUUGAGGCUUUGUGUAAUAAUUAUUUGUUUAAAACCAUACAGUUUGUACAUUUUGAACAUUUUGAUAAUUUAGAACUGACGAAUUGUAUCUUAAAUUCUCAAUUGCCCUUUUUGAUUGGUCAAUCAAUUUUUGAUUUGAAAAUGUAAAACGAGAUUUACCAAUAAGGCCGCAAUUAAUUUGUAAUCAGAUCAGGGUCACAAAAGUCAAUGAGAUGGCCAAGUAUCCCAUAAUUUACUGUCUAAGCUGGAUUUGGGUCUCAGGAGUGCAUUAAUAGUCCUGCAUGAUUUAAUCAUCUGUGUUGAACUGAUGAAAAACUCAUCAAAUUGUUUAUUCGUGUGGACUAACGAGAGCGCAAGCGCUAAAGCUAAACCCCCAAACUAAAAGUUGCACUAAGCGAGGUUUUCAAUGGGCAUUGCAACACACAAUGCAAUGAUGCAGGCCCUGCAUUCAAAUGUGUGUUGCAGUGUCUGAAAAUCUUGCUAAAUGCAACUUUUAGUUUCGGGUUUCAGGAGCUUCCGUGCUUCCGAGGUAGCAAAUUUAACCAGAAAGUUUCCCUGACAAAACGAUGUUUGUUUUCAUCGAGAAAAGUCCAAACAAGGAUGUUUAUAAAAACUGCUUAGUUUCUUUUGGUUCCAAAUGUAUGUAAAUAUUCGGCUCAUAAAUACCACAAAAAAAAUGGAAUAAACUUAAAGCUUUCAAAAGUGUUUGGCAAACUCAUUUUAAAAAGGUAUAUUUUGUUCACCUUGUGUCUGAUUUGUUCUUAUUUUAAAGAGUUGCGUGUGUCAAAUAAAAAUACGAAUAUUUUUCCACCA